UAAGCAAUUCAUUUUAAUUGUAUUGUGUGCACUACCAUUAUGUUAUCUUUGCAUGCUAUAAACAAACAUCCAUAAAGUACUGGCAAAAAUAAUCGAUUCAAGCAAACGGCCUGAAUUCAGAAGGCUAGGGAAAUUUUGCCCACAAUUCAAAAUAUCAUUAAUUGCACAAAAACUUACAAGAAGCUUAUUUCAUAACAUAACAAUAAUAAACUUAACGAAAGGGGAUACAGAACACAAUAUGAAACUAAAUAUGUAUGGUUGAAUAAAGAAAUUAAAACACACACACACACACAUAUAUAUAUACUGUAUUUGUAUUGGAAACUGAUAAACAUAUAUUUUUAUUACUGACGCCAUUUCUGGAAGCACGUUUUUGUUUGUGUUUCAACAAACAGUUUCCUUUUCUAAAAAUAAUACACCAACACGCACUCGUUUAAGCCCCAUAAGUAUGUCUUGUGUUUUAAAAUGUGAAAAAAUGAAAUCACCGUAUAACUAAUUCCAUUUAUUUGACUCUUUCGUAUUCCAUUGUGACCCAACUUCCGGUUUUGUUGCUGUGGACGGUCGGUGAAGGAAAGUCAAGAAAGGAAGAUAAAAACAAAACAGCAAGAGAAAGAAAAGAAGGAAGCGAUUCAAAAUAACAAUUAAAUAAGUUACAUACCGCAGGAAACGCAAUUUUAUAGCGAUUUAGCAACAUUAUAUUGGUGUUUGCAUUUAUUUAUUUUAAGAAAAGCUAGGUAGACAAGGUGUGUAUAUAUUAAAGGCAUUAUACCCGAACAGAGGAUGUUUCGCUAUUUACGCGACAUGGAUGAAAACCCUUAUAUGUUGGAUCCCUUUGCGACACACAGGCAGCAGAUGAGAAGCAUGUUUGGGGCAUUUGGGUUUGACCCAUUCCUGGGGAUCACAGAUGGAAGGACUGUGAGCGCUCCAAUUCAGCCAGCCAGAAGACCCCAAAUCCAGGCUGGAGCUCUCUCACCUUUUGGAAUGAUGGGAAUGGGCGGGGGUGGCGGGUUCAUGGACAUGUUUGGGAUGAUGAGCAGCAUGAUGGAAAACAUGUACCACCUCCCCACAGCAGAUAGCAGUCAUUACCACAUCCCAACAGCAGAUGGCAGUGAGAGGAUGGCUGGCUCUCCGAACUGCCAGACCUUCUCCUCCUCGACGAUGAUCUCCUACUCCAGCAGUGGCAGCGGCGCGCCAAAAGUGUACCAGCAGACCUCCGAGAUCCGAUCAGCACCCGGGGGGAUCCGCGAAACCAGACAGACGAUGCGAGACUCAGAGAGCGGUCUGGAGCGCAUGUCCAUCGGGCACCACAUCCGAGAGAGGGGCCACGUGAUGGAACGAUCGAGGAACAGGAAGACUGGGGACCGUGAAGAGAGGCAGGACUUCAUUAACCUGGAGGAGAGCGAAGCAGCUGCGUUUGAUGAAGAGUGGAGGGGUGCAGCCUCGCGCUACCCCCCCCCUGGGGCCCGCUCCCUGGACUACCAGCGGGAGCGCAGUGCGGGGGGAGGGGGGCGCCUGGCCCUCACUGCCCUCCCCAGCCAGCAGGAUGAUGACAGACAGCCCUCCUCCCGCCGCUAUGACUGGUGAGAUGCGUGCAGCACACACAACCCCACGGUACACAGAAUUGAGCCCCUUCCUCCCUCCUCUCUGACAGUGUUGAGAGUGAAUUUGCUGAGGACUAAGAGAUCAGAUGCUGCAUUGUUGUUUGGAAACCAUUCAUCUGAUACAUGAAUCAGUUUGCAGUCACCAACAUGAUUUAUUAUUGAUAUUAAUAGUACUAAAACAUUUUUCCUUCUACUAUUGCAUUUAUAUUUUGUGCCUUUUUUUUUUUCUUUUUGCUGUUUUUUCAGACAGCCUUUUCAAGAAAAGUCCAAUCUGUCUUUCUCCAGGAUUCAACUGGUUAUAUUGUCUUACUUCAGCUCAUGUUUCAUUUCUUGCUUGUUUAUUAUUAUUCUUCAUGUACUGUCUGAUCUAGGUUUAUGCUCAGGUCAUUCUUUUCCAAAUUUACUAACAAUUCCAGUUUUGUGGGGAAGCAUAUAGGCGUUGGACAGGCUUAGUGUGCAGCGCAACACUGAAAUACUUCCCCUGACUUUCUCUGCAGCCCUGGCGAGUCUCUUCAGAAGCAUUUAGCUGGAAUAGAUAGUAAGCCUAGCUACUAACUAUCUGAGUAGAAACAGCAUCAGAGAAUCAAAGAGAACAGACAGGGCCCACACAGCAGGAUAUUACAGGGAUUUACUUAACAUAAAGACAUUAAUUUAAAUUUAAUUUUUAAAGGGCAGAGUAGUUGUGUAGAAGUGCUAGAGAGACAUCAACUGCAAUGUGGCAGAGUUGUGAAAGCUGUGAGUGAACCUGGACAUACAGCUCCAGCACAGCAGGGGAUUGUGAUGUCACAGUGCUGUGAGUGAACCUGGACAUGCAGCUCCAGCACUGCAGGGGAUUGUGAUGUCACAGUGCUGUGAGUGAACCUGGGGUGCGUUCAACUAGACGAACGUUUGCAAACUUGUUUGUGUUUGUGGUCUGUUCAUCGGAAACGUUUGACAACGGUGGCGAACACUCUAAAGAGGCAGUUUAAUGUGAACAAAAAUAGCUACUGGAUGAGAGAACAUUUCUUUGACUCUGCGAUGGACAAGUUUUGUCAAUGUAUGACAAAGCAAGAAGCAGAAAGAGUUACAUCAGAUAUUGUAACGUUUUCUGGGUCGGGUUCUUUGUAAGGCAAGGUUUACACAUAAAGCCACACAACACAAGUCCAAGUAAAGGUUUUAAAACCUGUUUAUUAUUUUCAGGCUUUGACAGCGUUCUUGAUAAAUAAAAAUCAAAACAACCAAAGUAAAUAAUCCGCUGCCAGUGGGAGGUCCUUCAAGCGUUGUCUUUUCAAGCCGGGGUUUGUUACCGAAGGUCGUUUUCAUACAGAAGUAAUUGAUUGAAACAGCGUGUUUAAUAAUUCCAACAUGCCUACGUUCCCUGCUGAAAUCCUGGCUGCUGAAACUCCUUGUGCCUACGCUGUGAUACACGCUGUCCUCGUAGUCGCUCCACUGUGCUCUGAGACAUGGAGUGAAGCGGUCCACCGUUCGGGCUAGUGUAACUCAUGAGAGAGGAAGGAAUUAAACACUAAGCUGUUUUGUAACCAAGAUUUGAGCUUUAGAAUCGGCUGGAAUUCGUUGAAUGAAUAAGACAUUUGAGUCGGUUUUCCUCUACAGAAGUUGCGUGGUGUUGUAAAGAGCUGUGCCAUUCGUUAGCUAUUUAAGAAAAGUAGUGAAAUGUAACAUUUUGUAAAAGCAUUACUUUUUAUUUUUUUUGGAAUGGCUAUUUUAUAAUUUGUAGAUUUCAAGUGGUGGAUUUUUAUUUUUUGUAUAAUUUGGGGGAGGGGGGCAGGGUGAGUUAUUUAUUUAGGGGGGCCGAGGGGAGGAGUCUUUUAAUUAGAAAGUAAUGGAAUAGGGCUUUUGUUAUUGUAACCAUAAACAGUUGGAAUUUAUUAAUCUAUGUUGAAGUAAUAAAUUAUAAUAAAAACAAACUAGAAAAUUCUGUGAUACACACAAACUUUGUAAUAAAUUCAAUUUGAGAACGGUG